AGGGGCUUGAAUCCGACACUGGACCAUGGAGAACUAAGAGUGUCAGCAGUACUGAAUCCUAUUUGUCUAAUGAUGAUCCUUGUGAAUCUUUGCAAUCUGCAUCAUGUAUCAGCCAUGCAACUGCCUUUUAUUCUUCCAUUGUUGCUUCUGGAAAUGCAAUUCCAGGUUCAUACAAUGAGAAAAUUCUUCCUAGCAAAUACACAAAUGACUCCACACAACCCCUGGAGGAGGAAACUCCUGAAGUGAACAACUCUUCGGGAAUCAUGAAUGAUCCUACUGUAAAUGGUUAUGGACCUGCAGAGAAAUUAGAUCAUGACAUCAAUAGAUUUUGUAAUAUCCAUUUCAUUGUAUUUCAGUGGCUGCAUUGUCAAUAAUAAGAAC
rnacentral:lncRNA from 1 species